rnacentral:lncRNA from 1 species
AAACCUCUAUCCGGCCCCAAAAUCUUUUAAUCCUGACCGUUGAUCACAAAGAUCAAUGGCCACUAUCACCCCUUUCCUUUUUUAGUCCCAAUGACCCCCAAAUCCUAGAUAUUUGCUUACACCUGCCACCCCUAAAACCCUAUUCUCUCCAAUUCUCUCAGAAAUCAAACUUAACCAUAUCCGUCGCCACCCAGAACCAGCCCUAAUCCCCUUGAUUCCUACUCGUUCUAUGGCUUCUCAUGCCUGUAUGAGGCCUCUACUUAUCUCAUAUCUCCCCUGGUUGCUCGAUUAUGUGGUUUUGUGGAAGGACCUCGAAGAGAUCUGGUCCAGAUCUCAUUUAGAACUCUUCAAAGAGCUUGUCUAUAUUCUGUGAGUGCUUUCUAUCAAAGUUUCAUUGAUCAAAUAUGUGAUUCAAAGGGACCGAUUCUCUUUACCCUCUCUCUUUUCUUCAAAACUUAGCAAUUGGACUUGAAUUUGUGCAGUCCUUGUAGAUCUGGAGUGAUUUGGGCUCGUCAUUGUUUUUUCGUAAAGCUCCAUUAUUUCUUUACUGAUUAAUUGAUUUUUGAACAUUUUUUUAUAUUAGGGUUUGUUUUUCUUGUUGCUUGUUGGUCGAACCUCUGGUAUCUGAAAUAUUUUCAAAGUUCCAUGGCUAUUCUUUAGGUUCUUUUACUUCUCUACUACUAAUCGGGUAUUUUUAAACACUACGAUACUUCAGGUUUUAAUUGCUAUGAUUUUUGUUUGUUCGAAUCUCUGUGUGUUGACAUGCUUUAAAGUUUCCAUGGUUGUUUUCCUUCUUUAAGUGUUUUCAAAUUAGGGUUUUUAAUUAUUUUCCAGCUAAUUUCUCUGUGCUCCUAAAAGUUUUUCUCAACCUAUUUUGUUUAAAGGAAUUGAUAUGUUCUUUCCAGAAUUGUUGAGUGAUUUGCUCCGUUAAAAAAUUUGUCUGCAUUAUUCUUUGUUAUUUCCGUGUUUAUGACCUUAAUUAGUCGUUCUUGCGUUAUUUGAAUGUUGUAUAUUUACUGAUUCUUUACAUGAUUCUUUCCUUAAUUAAAUCCUUGGUUAUUUUAUUCUGAAGUUAUUUAUUUGGUUUUAUUUGAAAUCCUUUCCUUAAUAAGGCCUCUAAUUCUUACUUCUUUACUCAUGUGAUUGAACCUCCUUCCUUAACUAGUCUCUGUCAUUACCGUUGGUUAAUUUUCCUUAACUAAGGAGAAGACUAUGCCGAACCUCUUUGUGUGAUUGAUCCUAAGAUCCCUUAAUUAUUGAUUAUUGAUUACUUUACCUUAUUUUUUCUACUCUUGAACUACUAUAUAAACUCCUUUAUUUAACUUCUUAGACACAAACAUUAGUUCAUCAAUAACUCUUACACUUUAAAAAAGUUCUUUGUUCUUCCUGCUACUUGUGAUCUUCACCAGUCUAGCCGGCCGUAAGCCAAGGCUAGAAAUUGCACAAUACCUGUCUUACAUAUUGAGUUCUCUUUCCCUAAUCGGUAUGCCUCUGAUUAAAUUUUAGAAUCUAAACCUAUGUGUUUAUUUAAUACCUUAGCACAUUAGUCCUGAGUUUAUUCCUACUUUUGUUUACUGCUUAUCUAGCAUGCCUAAUACACCUUGUUCAAUAUGUGAUUAGCAUGUCCCGACUUACUUGCAUGUCUAUUUUUUAUCUAACAUGCCUAAAUAUUUCCUUGUACAAAUAUGUGAUUAGCAUGUCUCCACUUUACUUGCAUACUAUCAUGUUUAACAUUUCUAACAAUGUCUUGUUCCAUAUUUGAGUUGCUUGUUUGCCGAAACACUAUUUAUCUAGCAUGCCUAAACUUUGUUUUUUUAAAUAUGUGAUUAGCAUGUCUACACUUGUUGAUACUUUCCUAGUCUGUCCAUUUGAGUUCUUGCAUGUUCUGUCUUACUCCUGCUAAGUUAUGUAGUCUCUCCAAGGUAACUCUAGUGUGUUGUUUAUGUGUCCUCAACAUGUUUCUGUUGUGAUCUUUGCUUCAUGUCUCAAUGACCUACAUUAUAUCUAACCUUUUAGUUCUGUAGAACCCCUUGAGAAUUCUAUGCACCCUACUAUUUAUGUGCUCUACUAUACACUAAGGUGUAUUCUAUGUGUCCCCAACCCCUCUAUCCUUGUGUAGAACCUGCUUGCCAAGUGUUUCUGAAUAAUGAUUGUUCUGUGAUUUGAGUUUGACUUAAAAGUGUUUCUCAUACUUUUCUCAAGCUGUUUUUACUUCUAAACCAGUACUGGUUUUUCAGAAAAUAUAUUCACUUCUAAGAAUCCUCUCCAUACUGUUUAUCGAAACUCAUUCAAAUCAUAUCAAGCACUCUAACUUAUUCUUAUGUUAUUAAGUCAUGUCCUUCUGGUAUGUGUACUGCUUAGAGGUCCCUGAUAUCUCUCUGAACUUUGGCAUAUCAGGGUUGGCUCUUUGAC